CUGCUUCCAUGUGUUUGGUACAAGUUACACAUGAUCUUCUAAAAUGUUAUUAAUAAAUAUAUAUACAUAUUUUCAAAACUCUUACUACUUACAAAAUCUUAUUUGAGGUUAAGGGUUACUUCUAUUACCUUUCAAGCAUCCUGAUAAAAGCAAAUACAUUGCUAAAUAUCAAGGGUAUCUUGCUUUGUUCCCUAUGUAUGUCUUUCCUUCAACAAAUACCAAACUAAGCAUGGGGGGACACGCAUUGGCAUUUGAAUUCUCUUCAGAAAAUUCUGUAUACUUAAUCUGUUCAUUAUAGCAAAGUCUAUGCUAUUACGUAUUUAUCUGAAAGGAGUUUUCUGAAAGUAGUGAAAUAAGUUUAGGUUUAUAAGCACCUGUGUUUUGGCACACAGCAAGGAUAGAGUUUAUACUAAACCACAUUUUUUUCAUGUGACAUUCGAUGGCUCCAGAGUUUGAUAUGUUUGAUUUUCUCCUACAUGCAAUCUAUUACAUGUGUAAUUCUAUUUUUGAGUAUGUUCUCUCUCCAAAUGUGAGUCGAAAUAAUUCUUUCAUUGUGGCUGGUGCUUUGACAGUAGCCAUCCUUCUAAAUCUAUAUAACGGGCAUUUUCUCCAAGUGCUGAGCACUUAUCUUCCCAGACCCCCGCCAGUUGUUUCCAAUAGCUUUUCAUGUAAAGGAGUGUUACUAGAACAUGUUGCGUCAAAAAUCAAGUAGGGUCUUAAAAAAAAAAUGUGUGUAUCAAGCUAUUCACACUCAGAGUCCAUCAAGAGAAUGAUGUAUAUAAUUGUUAUUUUUAAGAAACCAGAAGAGUUGAAGCAGGAACCUUUCCAAGUAUAUGUCCUAAAGAAGCAGAAGGGGCAGUAGUAAAACUAAACUUCUCCCUGUAAUGAGAAAGAUUGCUGGAAGGGUGAACUCAUUAGUUAGGUGCUGGGGGCCAAGUAAUUCUUUGCUUCCUUCUCAUUUCUUCCAGGCUAUGACUGUGUUUUAACAGCAUCCCAGAUCAGAAUACUAUCUGGGAAUAUUAGUGCGCUAAAAAGAAACCGGUAAAAUAGUUACAGUCCCAAUGUCAGUAUGAAAAUCAGGACCAUGAUCUUUUAACUGCUCCAAUAAAAAGUUAUGUCACAUGUAAUUUCUGCUUCUUGGAGGUGCCCGGUGUAUUCAAAGAGCCCUCCACAAGACCACGAUCAGUUAUACUGGAUUACAAAAUCAGCAAAAUUCUCUGAGCUCUAUUUCCAUGGGUUUCCUGGGAAGAGAUAUAGUCAAGAAGUCAAACUACGCUCCAGUUCUGACUUGGGUGCAGGUUUACUUGUGCCAGUCAGCACUCAUUCUUAAGCUGCUUACCAGUUAUUUAUAGUCAACAUACUGCAUACCAUUGCUGUCUCCUCCUCUCCUACCCCUUCGUUUUGUGGACUGUAGGGAGAGCAAAGUAACAAUUGGGUAUGUAAACUCCAAAGGUGAGUCUGCUGGUGACUGACUAGUGGAGGGAUUCUCUAUGCUCUGUCUUGCAUAGCAGUACAACUGAACAAGGACAAGCCAGAGCUGAUCACUGUUCUGAUUCCUCUUACCAGCACAAAUUAAACCAAGAAUAUGGAAAACCCAUAUGACUUCAUCCUUCAGACCACAAGUGAAGCUGAGUCAGCAAGUGGGAUGCUGAAUGAAUUCAGUUUGAAACCAUUUCUGCUUGCAAUUCACAGAAAUCCAGCAGUGGUAUUUAUACAUUGAAGUUAAAUUCUAAGUACAGCCUCUGGAUAUUUUUGUGUUCUUAAUUGUGUGACAAGUCUACUGUUUGAUCAAAUGAGAACCAAGAUUUGGCAAUAAGCUAGCCACUGUAAUAUUUUGCUCAAUGCAUUUAUGGCAAUAAUAUUUUCUAAAAUGCAAUUUAUAUCAAAACCAAACUUUUUAAAUUUAGAGCUCAGUGCUAACAACUCCAUUAUGGACAUUUUCAUAUAAACAUAAUCUUAAAACAGAAUUGCUUUUAUGGAAUAACAUUUCCAGUUUUGAUAGAAGACAUUUGCCAAAGUCAUGCAGGAUGAACUGAUCUGCAGUAUUGUAUUGAUAUUUUCUUAAUUGUCAUUAAUGAUUAAAGAUGACUGUAGAGUUUAUUACACAGUGGCACUGAAUUAGCAUAGUUUAGAGCAAUUGCUGUAAAACAAUGAAAAUUAACAUAAUCAUCAACUUUUCCAGUAGUGAUAUAACUUUAUCAACUGUGUUUAUAAGAGAUUUUUUUGGUUUAACUUUUUUACAACACUGGUAGCAUGUCCAUUGAACUUCAUCUGGAGUCAUCACACAAAAAAUAUUAAAAACACCCAAAGAAGCUCUUACACAUAAUAAUAAUAAUAAACCCUAUUCAUUGUGAACUUUAAUUUCUAUCUUUAAAAACUAUGAAGUUCAGGGUAAAGCUAAACAUUCUAGACAUAAUUAGUAAUACUUUCACUGCUUUUAAAAAUCAUUUUAUUUUCCCUCUUAAAACUCAAGGUGUGAACAAAUGGAAACUGCUAAUCUAGAACAGAGUAAUCUCCAUUAUUACAAGAAAAUGUAUUGUCUUAUAUAUUUUUUCUUCUUUUUUUCUUAGAUUCUGAGAAUUCUAGAAUUUCUUUAAGAUCCUCCUUCUUCAUGAUUUUAAACAUUUAGUUACCCAGCUUACUAGAACUGAAUUUUCAGUUCUUUCUUUCUAACUUCUUCCAUGCUCUUUAUCAAUUCACACUUCUCAAAAGUAUCUCCAAGUGUUUCUUUCAUUUUCUUUCUUUUCCCUUCUCUCUUUUUCUUCUUCUUCUCUUUUUUUUUCCCUCCUUUUCCCUAGAUUUUUUUUCUCCAGCUUUGUAUCUCUGUUUGCUGUCCAUCUUUUUGGAGGAAGUCGUCUUCUUCUGCACAAAUUUGUAUGGAUUGUCUUUUAACACCGCCUGCACCCAGCAUUGUUGUGUUUAUUCCAGUUUGAUUUAUACAAACCAGUACUCAGAGUGAUAUUGCAUUCUUCCUGCUGUGGUUAAGAAUAUGAGCCCUAAUAUCUUCUGGGAAAGCUGUAACCGCUGUACUUGUUGCAACAUAGAUGCUGGCACUUCUACUGGGUCUUGAUUAUUCAAGAAUCCAAAGGGGUCUCUGCAACUUUAUGUUCUGAAAUAUAUAAAACUUCCAUCAUAUUAGUUUUGUUAUUUUGCAAGCUUUGUUAUUUCCAGGCCACCAAGUCCUUGCAAAAGACAACACUUCAUGAUUCUUCCAGUGUAACAAUCUUGUUCUUAAGACAUGUGGCGCUUGAAAUGGUUGACAUAGGCCUACAAGUUUUGCAGGCUCCUAGUAAACUUCCUUUGAAAGCAUACUAGUAAUUUGCCCUUGUUAAGUGUUAAAAAUAAAAUGUAGGAGUGGUACCACCUAACACUGUUGUAGUAUUUUUGUCUCCGCAUUCCCUAAGAGUGAAGUAUCAGAUCAAAGAAGAAGAAAAAAAGAAAUAUUUAUUUACCUUUUACAGUGGAUUAUAGACAGGUGGACUAUAGACAAAUGACAUUAUACAUUGGCAAGAUUCGAAUAAAAUACAAUUUCUUCCAUAAUUUUCCAUGACAGACUGAAAAUUCUAAGUCUUAAUUGCUUAUAUCAUUUCCCUCUUUCCUCUAGUCUGAAAAGUAUAAAAUGCAAUAGUAGAAGAAAAUAUAAGACAGCCAAAGUGACACAAUGAAAUUAUUCUAUUAUCAGAGAAAUAUAGUUCCCUUAAAAAAAAAUCAGAUAAUAAAAACAAUGAAGAAAGAGAAAUAUCCAAAACAUAUUUUUCCAAGAUCUACAGGAAUUUGGAUUUCAGGACUAAGAAUGUAUACCGUAAUCACUAAAGCAAUGAAAGCAUACUUUAUUAGGAAGUCUAUACUGUAUUUGUAUUUCAAGUAGAUCUCUGAACAUUAUCCACAGAUUCUUUGAAAUCAUCAUGUUGUUUACCAUUCUGCAUGUUUAUCAUACUUCAUAUUUUCUCAUAAACCUAAUUUUAAAAUUAUUUAUAUAGGAGUUCUAUCUUUAGUACAAUCAUUGAGGAUUUAAAGAAAACUUGAGAUGUAAACUGUGUCUUUACAUAUACUUCAGACAUUCUCAUCUAGCACUGACAAACAAAAAAUGUUCAGCUGGACUUUUUCAGAAUCUCUUUUAGAGCAGAGCUUUUUAAUUUCCAUUAUUCCUUUAUUCUGUAUUGAAAUUUAGUUCUGCUUUUUCAUUUAUUUUCCCUUUUGUUGGCUUACUUGCCUUUCCACACCCUUCCUAUUCCUACAGUCAUAAGCACAAAGAAUGUUCUUAAUAGUAUUGAAAAACCCUGAAUUCCAUUAGUUUGAAUACUUCAUUUUUGGCAUAACGUGAGCCAUGGCCUUCUUUAUGUCCCAGGAGCAAGAAUUCUGCAGUGCUUCCAAACCCGGAUCUUUUCUGUGGCAGUGAAGUCUUCUCUUCAUCCAAGACAUCAAACUGUCAGGCUGUUGUUUUUGAAAGCCUGAAUUGAGGAAAUACAUCUGAUUUAAAUAAAUUAGGUUCUUUGAACAUGCCUAAAGCAAUAAUAAAAAUAUGUCACUGUUUUCCUGCCUCUUAAUGUGAGUCCAACUCAGUCAUUGGGCAGUCUCCUCAAGAUGCCUCCUCUUCAUUCAUUCAUGUGCAGUUAGAAAUACAGAAAAUUAUUGUAGGAUAUUGUUCUCAUUAUAGUCUAGAUAUGUGGCUACAGUUCACCUUGAAAUUUAUAUACUUUAUAUAUAUAUAUAUAGUUUAUAUAUUAUUAUAUAUUUCAUCCUCUUUGGUAUUACCUACCAAAAUAUCAGGGAAACUUUUUACAUAAUCUUGGAUUUGAUUUCUUCAAUACUCUAACACAUUUUAUUUGAAAGCACCUUUAUUUAAGCUAUAGGGUUUUAUUGAAAAUUACAUAUUUUAUUAUUACUAAUGUCUUCACAAUAUCUAUAUAAAUAAACACAGCUAAAUAUUGAGUAUGUGCUUACAAAAGUGCUUGUCCAUUGGCUGAAAAUAGUCAUAUACUUCAGGAUAUUAACUGAAUGUUACUGUCAGCAUCAACUGUUCUCACUGAAAUAGGGUUUAAAAAAAUUUAACUGAAUCCUCUCAGUAGAGCAUGAUGUGACUGGCAAUGGAUUUGAGCCAUGAAAUUUCUAAGAUUCAGUUUAGAGGGAGGUGUUACACCAAACAUUUCUGGCAAUAUAUCUUAAAGAUUUUGGGCAGAAGGAAAGGAAGAAAUCCCUGACCACUGCAGACAAUUUAACUUGUAAUUUCUUUGUAAACCUCUUGAGCUUGAUGUCAAAUGUAGAUAGUCUCUCAUCACUGUUAUUGCAGAGCAUUAUACUCCUUAUAUUUAAAAGCAUUCUGCAAUUUUUUUGCCACUGUUCUAGUAUAUUUAAUUAGCUUUUAUUGUUCUUUUUCUUAAAUAGCUCUCAUUUUAUAUAUUUACAAAUAACAUCUCUAUUAGCUCAGCUUCUAUCUUGCUAAGCUAAAGAAGUUUUCUGUGUAUUUGCACUAUUUCUGGUUCAAAUGCAACUGUCUUGCAACAAAAUAGUAUGUAUUAAUCCAGAGGCAAUCUUGCCAAGACUUUGUGCAAGUGGUACUCUUUACAAAUACUGGAAAACAUCCCAGCACAUCGUAGAAUUACACUUUCCUUUGUCAUGGUAGCUUCACACCAAUAGUGAUAAUGAUCAUGUGAUUGUCUGAUUAAACCCAAUUCUUUCUCCUCCUGUACUAUUUCUAACUGAUGUGCUCCCAGCUUAUAGCAGAAAUUCUUGUUAUUAGUCCCUGAGUGCAUGACCUUACACUUUGUACUAUUAAAUUUGAUCUAGCUUCUAUUGCUACAGUUGUCAAGGUCAUCUAAUUCUUCCUGUGUGAUAUUCCCAUUCACUUCCAUAUAGACAACUCCUCCAAACUUUUUGUCAUCAAUAAAUUUCAUUAACACACUUCUAAUAUUUGUUUCAAAGCUAUUAAUGAGGACAUAAAAUAAUAGCAGUCUGAAAACCAGUCCUUGAAGAACUCAGUGAUUUUCCAAACUUAUAAACUUCCUUUCAACUGAAGUCUUGUUUGUCUUUUGCUUAAGCUGUCUCUUCAGUGUUACAAUUCUUGCACUAAUUACUUGUUUUAACUGGUAGUUCCCUAUGUGGAACUGCCUGAAGUUAGGUUUAGACUGGAUCAUUUCAUUGCAGAAAAACCAUUAUAAGAGAGAUAUAGAAGUGUGACCUAAGGAAAACAGAUCAGUGAAACCAGGCCUGCGUAUCACCCAGAUUGUUUGGAAUGUCAGCUAGGAGAAGACAAAAGCUCACUGAUUAUAUAGCAUUAAACCUAUUAAGAAAUAUUUGACAAAAAUUCAAAAAUCAGUGAGAAAUAAGCUUAAAAUACUGAUUUGCAAAUACCAAAACCUUUACAUAUGGCAAAUGAGGAAUAAGGUGUAUCUCAGUAUAAAUACAUACCUGUGUCUAAACAAUGCUGCUUUAUAUUCACUCAGUGUAACAUCAUUAUUUAAGGAAUUAUGAUGCAAUGGUCCAUUAUCAAUUGGUUAUUUAGUUAAUAAAUGAAGACCAUUGCUUUACUUGCAGACCAUGAGGUUAUACUAAGAAACAUGCAUUCAUCUUGAUCACAGUGCCAAUUCAGCAUUUACUAAAUUGACAGAUCUAUCUGAGAAUAAGUUUCUAUCACAAAGAAAGUGUCAUCUCCUGUCAUCUCACAAAUGUACUUCAUUCUCUACCUAGAUUUAACAAUUGAGACUCUUCUACUGCACAGCAUAUCAGCUUCCUUGCUAUAAAGCACAAAAUGUAUUCAUAUUAUCAGCAGUUAUGUUUCCAGCAAUUUAUUUCAAGAAAUUUGACUCAGUGAUGUGUCCCGUUUUCAAAUAUUAUGACUCUUCACUGGUUGCUAUUUUUUAUAUCUUAGUAACUUUUCAGGUUAAUUUCAAUUAUUGAGAUCACUUCACUGGUUUGACUAAGACCAUAGACCCAACAGCAGUGGUCUCUCCACCAAACUGGUGUGGCAGUAAAGAUGUCAGAGUGUAAGAGAUCAUUCUUUUACAUCAUUGUCUCAAAGCUUGCUGGGGACACAGAUGAACAAGUCCAAGCAAGUCCUGGGCAAGGGUUCUGAAAUCCUUUGUCUGAGGGACACAGAUGGACAAGGCCAGGGGCAACGAGAGAGAAAGCCGCAGCUUAAUGGCCAGGAAGCAGUCUUGUGUGUGGGCUUAUUUCGAGGAAGAUGGCCAUCUCAGGAGGUGCUGCACAUGACUCUUACCAAGCGCCUAGGACUGCCACAUUGGCAGAAGAAGAAGG